UGCCCAGCAACUCCUAUCCCUACCUCCUCGCGGUACUGGCCGGGGUACGAGUAACCUUAGGGAAGAUCGGGUAACCAACCCCCGGUGGGAACUUUGGUCGUAUGCUGACAGGGAAGA
rnacentral:ribozyme from 1 species